rnacentral:rRNA from 1 species
UGCAAGUCGUGGGGCAGCGCAGUGUAGCAAUACAUGGGCGGCGACCGGCAAACGGGUGCGGAACACGUACGCAACCUUCCUUUAAGUGGGGAAUAGCCCAGGGAAACUUGGAUUAAUACCCCGUAAUAUUAUGGAGUGGCAUCACUCUAUAAUUAUAGCUCCGGCGCUUAAAGAUGGGCGUGCGUCUGAUUAGGUAGUUGGCGGGGUAACGGCCCACCAAGCCUACGAUCAGUAACUGGUGUGAGAGCACGACCAGUCACACGGGCACUGAGACACGGGCCCGACUCCUACGGGAGGCAGCAGUAAGGAAUAUUGGUCAAUGGACGCAAGUCUGAACCAGCCAUGCCGCGUGAAGGAUGAAGGUCCUCUGGAUUGUAAACUUCUUUUAUUUGGGAAGAAAUCCACGGUUUCUACGGUGGUUGACGGUACCAGAUGAAUAAGCACCGGCUAACUCCGUGCCAGCAGCCGCGGUAAUACGGAGGGUGCAAGCGUUAUCCGGAUUCACUGGGUUUAAAGGGUGCGUAGGCGGGCAGGUAAGUCAGUGGUGAAAUCCCCGAGCUUAACUUGGGAACUGCCGUUGAUACUAUCUGUCUUGAAUACUGUGGAGGUAAGCGGAAUAUGUCAUGUAGCGGUGAAAUGCUUAGAUAUGACAUAGAACACCGAUUGCGAAGGCAGCUUGCUACACAGUGAUUGACGCUGA